GGACCCUGUCUUGGAGAGUAUGCAUGAGUAAUUAAAUAAUAUGGCCUUCUGUCACCCCUUUUUGGAGGGAGGGGUUAAAAGCUGUAUUUGCAGGCUGAGAGCAGGUGUCUGUGAUGAUCCUAUGCCAUGACAGGCAUGCGGCACAUUGCUGAUGAAAUGGCCACAGGAAGACAACAUGGAACCCUCCCAGCAUGAUCAGAAGAAGCCUAAUUAAGCUCUGUGGUUAAUUUUAAAAACCUAUUGUCAGAAGUAUAGCAAGGAACUUCGGUCUGGCUUUCGAAAGUGCUGAACACCCAAAACUCCUGCUGAGGUCUCCAGGAAUUACAGCACAGAACGAGCAACUCUUCAUUCUUCAAGGUCUACAGAUUCAUGUGCUUCUAAUAAAAUCUCUGUGUGCCCAUUCAAUUUACACUGGGAAUUAUAGUUGGUAUCUGUGAGCUGACCAGGACUAUCUUGUAAAACCAUG
rnacentral:lncRNA from 1 species